rnacentral:rRNA from 1 species
GACGAACGCUGGCGGUGUGCUUAACACAUGCAAGUGGAGCGACGAACCAGGGCUUGCCCUGGGGCAGAGCCGCGAACGGGUGAGUAACACGUGGGUAACCUACCCCGAUGACUGGGACAACCCGAGGAAACUCGGGCUAAUACCGGAUGUGUCCGACGUCCACGAGGACGUCGAGCAAAGGAAGCUUCGGCCUCCGCAUCGGGAGGGGCCCGCGGCCCAUUAGCUUGUUGGUGGGGUAACGGCCUACCAAGGCUGCGAUGGGUAGCUGGUCUGAGAGAACGAGCAGCCAGACUGGGACUGAGACACGGCCCAGACUCCUGCGGGGGGCAGCAGUGGGGAAUCUUGCGCAAUGCGCGAAAGCGUGACGCAGCAACACCGCGUGAGGGAAGCCGGCCUUCGGGUUGUAAACCUCUUUCAGGAGGGACGAAGGCCGGCCGGUUAACAGCCGUGCCGGCUGACGGUACCUCCACAAGAAGCUCCGGCUAACUACGUGCCAGCCGCCGCAGUAAUAC